rnacentral:rRNA from 1 species
AACGAACGCUGGCGGCAUGCCUAACACAUGCAAGUCGAACGAGACCUUCGGGUCUAGUGGCGCACGGGUGCGUAACGCGUGGGAACUUGCCCUUAGGUUCGGAAUAACUCCCCGAAAGGGGUGCUAAUACCGGAUAAUGUCUUCGGACCAAAGAUUUAUCGCCUUUGGAUGGGCCCGCGUUGGAUUAGCUAGUUGGUAGGGUAAAAGCCUACCAAGGCGACGAUCCAUAGCUGGUCUGAGAGGAUGAUCAGCCACGCUGGGACUGAGACACGGCCCAGACUCCUACGGGAGGCAGCAGUGGGGAAUAUUGGACAAUGGGCGAAAGCCUGAUCCAGCAAUGCCGCGUGAGUGAUGAAGGCCUUAGGGUUGUAAAGCUCUUUUACCCGGGAUGAUAAUGACAGUACCGGGAGAAUAAGCUCCGGCUAACUCCGUG